UACGUAGGGGGCAAGCGUUGUCCGGAUUUACUGGGCGUAAAGCGCGUGUAGGCGGUUGGGUAAGUCUGCUGUGAAAGCUCCUCGCUUAACGGGGAGAGGUCGGUGGAAACUGCUCAACUUGAGGACGGUAGAGGGGGGUGGAAUUCCCGGUGUAGUGGUGAAAUGCGUAGAGAUCGGGAGGAACACCAGCGGCGAAGGCGGCCCCCUGGGCCGCUCCUGACGCUGAGACGCGAAGGCCAGGGUAGCGAACGGG
rnacentral:rRNA from 1 species